GGUAUUUGACGCAAACACACACUCCAGUACAGUAGGUGGCGGUAGUGCACUGUUUUGUUGUAUUCCGACCGCCAUUAAAAUAACAAGAAGAAGGGGAUGUGAUUUUCUCUCACGCUGGUUGAAAAGAAUCCUCUGCUUUACAGACUGUAGUCUCAUAUUUCUGGAUCUCAUUAAAUCUCCAGCAUUCACAGAUUGAGGUAGUGAGGAAAGGUGAGACACUCUAACUUCUCAGCAAGUGCUACUGAGUGAUAUUUACGCUACUAUUACCGAUUUGGACCAUAAGAAAAACCACGCAUACGUUCAAGAGUCAUAAAUCAGCAGCAUAAUAAUUCCCCAACAUGCACUAAAGACUGAGGCUUGGAGGAUUCAUCGCACAACAAAGGACCUCAGACUGCUGCUCAAAGACCAGCUGUAUUUGUGUCCUGGAACAAGACAGUUCCACUUGUAAGAGCACCGUGUGAAGAUUUGAUUAGUGGAGUAAUAGCACAGUUUUGCUUAAAAUAUUCCAACACACAGCAUUAUGGGUGACACAUCAGAGUUCACAAGAGGACAAAUUGUUGGUGCACGUCUCUCUGGUGCAUCUGUGACCAAGGCAGCAGAUCUUUGUGGUGUAUCAAGAGCCACAGUAUCCAGAGUAACAUCAGCAUACAUCCAAGAAGGACGAACCACAUCCAACAGGAAUAACUGUGGAAGUAAGAGGAAGCUGUCUGAAAGGGAUGUCCGCGUGCUAACCCGGAUUGUAUCUAAAAACCAUGUAACCACAGCUGCCCAAUUCACAGCAGAGUUAAAUGUGCACCUCAAAUCUCCGGUUUCCACCAAAACUGUUCGGCGGGAGCUCCACAGGGUCAAUAUAUAUGGGCAGUUUCCUAUAGCCAAACCUUUGGUUGACUCAUGCGAAUGCCAACCGUCCGUUUCAGUGAAGCCAGGAGAGAAAAUCUUAGGCUGUGGACAAUGUGAAACAUGUAUUGCUCAGGAUUCUGAUACAGAAAGUACUUGAAUCUCAGACUCAUUGAUUCCUGGAAGGCAUAGGAAGAACUUGAAAACACACAUAGGUCCUUAAAAGUGCUUCAAAUAAAUGUGAAAAUAAACUUGUUUCAAAAAUGCUACUGUGUUGCUGUCAACAACAGAAUGAAAGUGCUGACGUACGUGUGUGUAGUUAUAUUUGUUGCGCAGCCUAAUCGUUUAAUAACCCAGGAUAUCCCCUGGACAUAUGUGGCCACAUUAUGGCUCCGAGUUGAUCACAACCACAAUCAAUGCUUGUAUGACCGUUCACAGCAAUUAUGGUGUUAUAGUUUGCUACAUAUUUUGCAUAAAAGCAAGCAAGAAAGCAAAGAAUUGGUUGAAUGCGUUGAAGGUAAUUGUUCUUUAUAUUCAUGAGAUUUCAUAUGUAACGCCUUUUAAGAUGUAGCUAUUGGGGGUUUUAAUAUAUAGAGAAUUAUGGUGAGGGGUCCACCUCUGAUAUCUCUUACCUGGUCAUUUGCAACCAUCAAAACAUGAAAACUGGUGAUGAGGUUUUUUUUUUAACUAGUAUAUAUAAUAGUUGGCUAAUAGUGUUAAACGGGUACAGUUUUAGGUCAAGAGCAAAACCCAAAUUUAAACUUCACUGACACUAUAUAUUGGUUUCAUUUACAUUUUGUAUCUGUACAGAAAUUGAUAUGCCAUGUCAUUUUGGCAAAGAUGAAUAAGUGAAUAAGCACGAGGUGGAAUAAAUGCUGGGUAUCUGCACACUAGGGAGUGAAUGGAAUACAAAAGCAGACAAAUAAGCAAGAGAGACAUCACACAGUAAAAUAGUCUCAAUAAAACUGGGAAAAGGUCAGGGAAGGAGGUAUUAGAAAAUACAAAAAUCAUGUAUGAAUCAGUAAAUGUUCAAAAUAUGAACAGACAAGAAAAAAAAUGUAAUGGCAAGAUUGAAAGUGGAUCACUCGUAGUGUAAAAAAAUGUUGGGUUCCACACAAUCGAGUUUUUACAAAUUUAACUGGAUUAAAUUAAACAGUUAUCCCUUAAAACAACUCAAGCAUUUUGUUGUUUCAGCUCAUUUUAAAUAAGUAGUUUAAACAAACGGCAAACAUUUCUGAGUGUAAGACUAAAUAAUACCUUGUAUAGAAAAGGAACAAUGAAAGUUCGCAUGAGUCACCUUUGGUUGGUCCAUGCCAGUGCCAAACAUCUGUUUCAAUGGUGCCAGGGGAGAAAGGCCUAAUCCAAAAUCUACCCCUUAGCCCAGGGGUGUCCAAACUCGGUCCUGGAAGGACAGUGUCCUGGAAACUUUAGCUCCAGCCCUAAUUAAACACACCUGAACCAGCUAAUCAAGCUAUUACUACAUAUACAAGAAACUUCCUGGUAGAUGUGUUGGAGCUAAACUCAGCAGAACACCGGCCCUCCAGGACCGAGUUUGGACACCCCUGCCCUGCCUUAGCCCUUCCCCUUCAUGGCUUUCUAUAAUUCAUAAUAACUCCUGUAUAGCAGUCCCACAACAUGCUUUUCCAUCUGUCACUCAAUGACACUUGAUUCCCGUCAGAGAGGUCUAGUAGCUGGCAAUGACUGCUAUAAUGUUAAUGUUGUUUUCAUGGGUUUAGAUGAAUAUGCAUGUAAGUGCACUGUAUAGUUACAAUCUUAUUGCCACAUGAAAUCUUUAUGAUAACAUGAUUUAUGUCUUUAGUAAUUUCCUGAAGAUAAACACCAAAAAAAAAAAAGAACACAACUGAAAUAACUACAGCAGUCUCCAUCGUCUAUUUCAUAUGAAGAGAUCGAGAGACAUAAUGACUUGUGCAGGUGUUGUAAUGCUGUCCCAAUUCUUUGGGGUACAUUUUGGAACCCUUCACACUCUGUUUCAAGGGCUAAGGGUACAAAAAUGCUAAUGGUAAAUAUGUUAUGGUUUGUGGUUUAAACAUGUUUGACUGCAGUUUGUAGGCAAGAUGUACACCACAGAGAAGUACAACUACAACAACUUUUGUUCUAUUUCACGCUUGAUGAUACUUACUGGGGCAUAUCAACAAUGAAAUAAUUGUUUUUUGUGCAGUUCUUUGCACAACAGCAUAUAAAGUAUGUCUUAGGACGGAUUUGAAAUCGAAUACAUUUUUCUCACUGUCUACCGCCAUAUGCACAACUUUUACAGUUUGGACAGUAACACACCUUGUACGGUGUUGAAAAGUUCUCAAGGUUGAGUCUUGUAAAGCACAGGUCCACAAUACCAAUAAAAGAAAGGUAAAACCAUGUGGCCACAGUGCGCUUUUUUCUUAGGUUUCCUUUUGUAAACACAGAAGCGUUUUUGUCAGUGUUUUGCUGGGUGAUCGCUUUCAGGUGGACAUGUAUAUGAAAUGUACUCCAAGUAAUGUAUCUUACAUUUGUUAUAAUUACGGCUGCAACUAACGGUUAUUUUAAUAAUUGAUUAAUCUGUUGAUUAUGUUUUCGAUUAUUUGA